GCUGAUGUCGCCGUAGUCAUUACCCCAACUUUUCGGAGAGGGGGAUGCCUAAGGUAGGACUGGUGACUGGGGUGAAGUCGUAACAAGGUAGCCGUACCGGAAGGUGUGGCUGGAUCACCUCCUUUU
rnacentral:rRNA from 1 species